rnacentral:rRNA from 1 species
AGAGUUUGAUCCUGGCUCAGAACGAACGCUGGCGGCAGGCCUAACACAUGCAAGUCGAGCGCCCAGCAAUGGGAGCGGCGGACGGGUGAGUAACACGUGGGAAUUUUCCUCAAGGUACGGAACAACUCAGGGAAACUUGGGCUAAUACCGUAUGAUGCAGAGAUGCCAAAGAUUUAUCGCCUUGGGAUAAGCCCGCGUCAGAUUAGGUAGUUGGUGGGGUAAUGGCCUACCAAGCCUGUGAUCUGUAGCUGGUCUGAGAGGACGAUCAGCCACAUUGGGACUGAGACACGGCCCAAACUCCUACGGGAGGCAGCAGUGGGGAAUCUUGCGCAAUGGGCGAAAGCCUGACGCAGCCAUGCCGCGUGAAUGAUGAAGGUCUUAGGAUUGUAAAGUUCUUUCGCCCGUGACGAUGAUGACGGUAACGGGAGAAGAAGCCCCGGCUAACUUCGUGCCAGCAGCCGCGGUAAUACGAAGGGGGCUAGCGUUGUUCGGAAUUACUGGGCGUAAAGCGCGCGUAGGCGGUUUUGCAAGCCAGAGGUGAAAUGCCCGAGCUCAACUUGGGAAUUGCCUUUGGGACUGUGAGGCUUCGAGGACGGAAGAGGUGAGUGGAAUUCCCAGUGUAGAGGUGAAAUUCGUAGAUAUUGGGAAGAACACCGGUGGCGAAGGCGGCUCACUGGUCUGUUUCUGACGCUAAAGCGCGAAAGCGUGGGGAUCAAACAGGAUUAGAUACCCUGGUAGUCCACGCUGUAAACGAUGAGUGCUAGGCGUCGGCAGGCUUGCCUGUCGGUGCCGCAGCUAAC